AGAGCGAACGCUGGCGGCAGGCCUAACACAUGCAAGUCGAGCGCCCCGCAAGGGGAGCGGCAGACGGGAGAGUAACACGUGGGAACGUACCCCUCAGUUCGGAACAACCCAGGGAAACUUGGGCUAAUACCGAAUACGUCCGUAAGGAGAAAGAUUUAUCGCUGAAGGAUCGGCCCGCGUCUGAUUAGCUUGUUGGUGAGGUAACGGCUCACCAAGGCGACGAUCAGUAGCUGGUCUGAGAGGAUGAUCAGCCUCACUGGGACUGAGACACGGCCCAGACUCCUACGGGAGGCAGCAGUGGGGAAUAUGGACAAUGGGCGCAAGCCUGAUCCAGCCAUGCCGCGUGGGUGAUGAAGGCCCUAGGGUUGUAAAGCCCUUUCGGCGGGAAGAUAAUGACGGUACCCGCAGAAGAGCCCGGCUAACUUCGUGCCAGCAGCCGC
rnacentral:rRNA from 1 species